GACGAACGCUGGCGGCGUGCUUAACACAUGCAAGUCGAACGAUGAACCCGGAGCUUGCUCCGGUGGAUUAGUGGCGAACGGGUGAGUAACACGUGAGUAACCUGCCCUUGACUCUGGGAUAACUGCGGGAAACUGUAGCUAAUACCGGAUACGACCCUCGGCGGCAUCGCCAGGGGGUGGAAAGAAUUUCGGUCAAGGAUGGACUCGCGGCCUAUCAGCUAGUUGGUGAGGUAACGGCUCACCAAGGCGACGACGGGUAGCCGGCCUGAGAGGUUGACAGGCCACACUGGGACUGGGACACGGCCCAGACUCCUACGGGAGGCAGCAGUGGGGAAUAUUGGACAAUGGGCGCAAGCCUGAUCCAGCCAUGCCGCGUGAGUGAUGAAGGCCUUAGGGUUGUAAAGCUCUUUCGUCCGGGACGAUAAUGACGGUACCGUAAGAAUAAGCACCGGCUAACUACGUGCCAGCCGCCGCCGUAA
rnacentral:rRNA from 1 species